AUUGAACGCUGGCGGCAUGCCUUACACAUGCAAGUCGAACGGCAGCACGGGGCAACCUGGUGGCGAGUGGCGAACGGGUGAGUAAUGCAUCGGAACGUGCCCGGUCGUGGGGGAUAACGCAGCGAAAGCUGCGCUAAUACCGCAUCCGAUCUGAGGAUGAAAGCGGGGGACCGUAAGGCCUCGCGCGAUCGGAGCGGCCGAUGUCAGAUUAGGUAGUUGGUGGGGUAAAGGCCUACCAAGCCGACGAUCUGUAGCUGGUCUGAGAGGACGACCAGCCACACUGGGACUGAGACACGGCCCAGACUCCUACGGGAGGCAGCAGUGGGGAAUUUUGGACAAUGGGCGCAAGCCUGAUCCAGCAAUGCCGCGUGCAGGAAGAAGGCCUUCGGGUUGUAAACUGCUUUUGUACGGAGCGAAAAGGCUCUCUCUAAUACAGGGGGUUCAUGACGGUACCGUAAGAAUAAGCACCGGCUAACUACGUGCCAGCCGCCGCAGUAAAAC
rnacentral:rRNA from 1 species